ACACCCAGAAUGAUGCCAUCUACCGCCCGUUCACGACGCUACUGACCAUCACGUUGUUUCCUGUUGGGGGAGGUGUAACACCCGGUUAUUAGCACAUGGAUCAAGCGCCAAUUGCUGGUCAAAACACCAUUAGCCAUGGCCCACUCGUCAUCCACCCUUCCAUCCUUGCCCAUCCCAUUUCCCUGUUCGGCACAGGGCAAGGCAUGGCCAUCGGCCAGCUGCCUCCCCUCUCGAAGCUACUCUGCUGUGCUGUGCUGGCCGGCCGCACACCGCGCGCGCUGGGCCACGCCCGUCCCGCGCGCAUGCCUCUAGCCAGACUGACUGUUAGCAAAGUAAGCAGGAGACUGAAGCAACCGGCCAGGAGCACGGCUUAAGAGUGAAGAAGCCCAACAGGAAGGUCCUCGGCCCAGAAUGGGUGAACUGAGUAGUAUAUAUAUUAGCUGAGAGAGACGAGAGCAGGGAUGUAUGAACACUCAAACUAUUCCCCAAGUAAUUUGACCUCCUCCGAUCCCAAUUCCUGCUAGCCUGUCCCCAAUUCUGUUCUUCCUUCCAAUCCACGUUACCCUGCUGGCUCUUAUAUCUGGUAUCAGAGACUAGAUCCCUUGCGACCUGGAUCUGCACCACCAUUAUACCCGUCUGCAGAAAUCUCGCGGCGCUAUGGAUCCCAGUUUCAAGCUUCUGCUCGAUGAGAUGAAGAAGUUGGGGGGAUCGAUUCGCCCUUGUUGAAGCCCGCGUCGACAGUCUGGAGGGCUCCUUCCGCGACCAGUUCAAGGCUGUCGAGCAGUCCGCCUCCGAUCUACAGGCGUGGCGGCCGGGAAUUGAUUCCUCCAUCGCGGAUCUCUCCUCCAAGCUCAGCGCCGUCGACGACCUCCACGACAAGCUGGGUUCCCUCUCCAGCAAGCUGGAUCGAGUGGUUCUCGAUCGUCUUCCACCGGGGGGCGGCAUCCUGCCGAACCCCAUGGCGGCUGCGACGACUACACCUGCCGGCAACCCGGCCGUCGGCCCCACUGGGCACUGCAUCGAGAAUCCAUACCGGGAGCCUGGGUUUGGGUCGGUCACGACCAUCUCCCACCUCCCGGUCACGGGUAUAGGAGCUAACCCGGAUUCACAUCGGUGGGCUCGAUGUGACGUCCUCACGUCUCUAUAGUUAUCGUUUCAUUUCAUUUUAUUUCAGUUGGUUUCUAAUGAAAAUCUUCCUCAGGAGGAUCUCUAUUCUGGGCGCUACAAAGCUGCAUGUGUGGAUCCUGGAAUUGCCUGUGGUCAGAUCAGAUGUGUGUUUCGAUCGGGGUCUUCUGCAACAGUCUUUUGGUACGUGCAGCGUAUAGGAGCACAGUGUGUUGGGUGUGGCUCCACUCUAGUUGCAGAAGAAGAGCAUACUCUGAGAGCAAUGUUUUGAAGGAAGUUUGGUGAUCCAUGUGGCCUGAGGUUGCACAAAAAGAUGAUGACACUAGUGGUGCUAGUUCAUCAAUAGGUGGUGUGAACCUUCUACACAUGCCGCAUAAACUGGGGGCAUUUCCGUUUACUUUCAACCUUAAUCUAUCUCAGAAUUUGAGC